rnacentral:rRNA from 1 species
GAUGAACGCUGGCGGCGUGCCUAAUACAUGCAAGUCGAGCGAACGGACGAGGAGCUUGCUCCUCUGACGUUAGCGGCGGACGGGUGAGUAACACGUGGAUAACCUACCUAUAAGACUGGGAUAACUUCGGGAAACCGGAGCUAAUACCGGAUAAUAUAUUGAACCGCAUGGUUCAAUAGUGAAAGACGGUUUUGCUGUCACUUAUAGAUGGAUCCGCGCCGCAUUAGCUAGUUGGUAAGGUAACGGCUUACCAAGGCAACGAUGCGUAGCCGACCUGAGAGGGUGAUCGGCCACACUGGAACUGAGACACGGUCCAGACUCCUACGGGAGGCAGCAGUAGGGAAUCUUCCGCAAUGGGCGAAAGCUUGACGGAGCAACGCCGCGUGAGUGAUGAAGGUCUUCGGAUCGUAAAACUCUGUUAUUAGGGAAGAACAAAUGUGUAAGUAACUAUGCACGUCUUGAUGGUACCUAAUCAGAAAGCCACGGCUAACUACGUG